rnacentral:rRNA from 1 species
UGAGGAAUAUUGCGCAAUGGGCGAAAGCCUGACGCAGCAACGCCGCGUGGAUGAUGAAGUUCUUCGGAAUGUAAAAUCCUUUUGCAGGGGACGAAUAUGCUGGCUUGCCAGUACUGACGGUACCAUAGGAAUAAGCACCGGCUAACUCCGUGCCAGCAGCCGCGGUAAUACGGAGGGUGCAAGCGUUAUCCGGAUUUACUGGGUUUAAAGGGUGCGUAGGCGGAUGAAUAAGUCAGUGGUGAAAUCUCCGAGCUUAACUCGGAAACUGCCGUUGAUACUAUUUGUCUUGAAUAUUGUGGAGGUAAGCGGAAUAUGUCAUGUAGCGGUGAAAUGCUUAGAUAUGACAUAGAACACCAAUUGCGAAGGCAGCUUGCUACACAAUCAUUGACGCUGAGGCACGAAAGCGUGGGGAUCAAACA